GUGUCAGCCGCCGCGGUAAUACGUAGGCAGCAAGCGUUGUUCGGAGUUACUGGGCGUAAAGAGUAUGUAGGCGGUUGGGUAAGUUUGGUGUGAAAUCUCCCGGCUUAACUGGGAGGGUGCGCUAAAGACUGCCUGGCUCGAGUGUGGGAGAGGAAAGCGGAAUUCCUGGUGUAGCGGUGAAAUGCGUAGAUAUCAGGAGGAACACCUGCGGUGUAGACGGCUUUCUGGACCAUAACUGACGCUGAGAUACGAAAGCGUGGGUAGCAAACAGGAUUAGAUACCCCUGUAGUCC
rnacentral:rRNA from 1 species